CGCGGCCGGACGGACUACCCAGCUUUCCUAACGCUCGAUACCGAUUCCGAACAUUCCGAACAUAAUUCCUAACCGAUUCCUAACCAAUUCCUAACGCUUUCCUAACGGCGCGUUAGGAAUUGGUUAGGAAUUGGUUAGGAAUUGGUUAGGAAUUACAAGUGGGCGUUAGGAAAGUGAUAUCGGAUUUCGGCAAACGUGACCUUUAACCCGAGUAAAAGAUGGCGGCCUCCAGGAGUCCGCCAUUGCUCCGUGAUUCAGAAUUUGGCUAUACACAAGUCACAAGUGAGGCGAGGUCAUCAUGUCUAAGAUGGGGCGGCUACAUGCUGCAUACGUAUAGAUGAAGUGAUGUUGGUGUUCAGCGUGUUUGCUAUGCCUAUAAGAAAGGAAGAGGUGAUGCAUAUUGGGGGCAUAUCAUGCGACAAUAUGCCAAUGGUCGCUACCAAUUUGGCAUUGGCCAAAAGCUGGGCAGUAAGAGAUGGAACUAAAGAAGGUUGAGAGUUGCCCGUGCCACAACACCCCCAGACCACAGAUCUGAUGGGGCGCAGAAUCGUCUGCAACUGAUCUUACCAUGAGGAUACUACAACCUAACCCACAAGUGGUCCAUCCAGGCCAGCCACAAGUGAUGCGUCCAGGCCAGCCACAAGCAGUGCGUCCCCCCCAGCCACAAGUGGUGCGUCCGGGCAAGCCGCACGCCGUCUGUCAAGGCCAGCCACCGGAUGUCCAUUCAAGCCAACCAACUUUUGAAUGCCCGCAGUGUUUCUAAAGAGUAGGAGUGGAUGCAUUUACUGACCACCACAAGAGUCAGCAAGUGAAAAGCACACCCUCCCGUCAGGUGAGCCAGCCCCCCUCUCGCCAGGAGAGCCAACCAGGAGAGAGCAGCCCCUCUGUCCCACCACCUUCUCGUCAGGUGAGCCAGCCAGUCUCUUGCGAGGAGAGCCAACCAGGAGAGAGCAGGCCCUCUGUCCCCCUGCCCUCUCAUCAGGAGAGCCCCCCCCCCCCCCUCUCGCCAGGAGAGCGAACUAGGAGAGAGCAGGCCCUCUGUCUCCUGCCAUCCUCCAGUCCUCCCCUCCAACCAAUUGUAUCGCCAACUUUCCAGAUGAGGCAGCCUUCAUUGGACUGGGCCAGGUUUUUUUUUUUACAUCGGACUGACACUUGAUACACCGGUGUGUAGAAUACUCCUUUACAUGUUCAUUCGACUUGGAUGAAACUCCUUUAAGGCAGUUAUUAAUAAAACAAUUAAUAAAACAGUCGAAACAGCUCAGUGCUUGUCCACAAAACACAUUUCUAGCUGAAAAUUUGAUAUUUUCUUCUAAUUAGCAAUACGGUCCUAGACCACCAUCCGGAGAUUCAGGCCGAAUGUGGUAAAUUCCAAAUUCUUGUUGCAAAAGGUUCAUUAGGUCGUAGAUAGAUACAGAAAAUUUCGAAGAAUGUGUGACAUCACCAUGACAUCAUGAAAAUUUGUUUUUUUACAUUGGAUCGACACUUAGACCACCAUGUAUAGAAUUUUCAUGUACUUGUUCAUUCGACUUGGAUGAAACUCCUUUACUGCAGUUAUUGCUAAAACCGUCGAAACAGAUCAGUGUUUGUCCACAAACACAUUUCUAGUUUCAUCAUGAAACUAGAAACUGGUGUUUCCUUGAUUUCUCCACGAUUAUUAGCCCCGUCAUGCCUGCAGUUGAGCAUUUUAUAGGGUCAUAUUUCAAGAUUUCUUUGACGUGAACCAUAAUAUGCAAGUGGGGAAUGAUUUUAUUCCGAAUAAGUGUUUUUACUUGAUUGGUGCAUCAGUAAUUAAAAAGUGUAUAAGAAGUGUUUUAAAACUUGCAUGUACACACAAAAAUAUAGUUAGAUUAUGUAUAGUAUAAUUAUAAUUGACACUUAUAGCAGUCUUAUCUCAUGCUGUUGAAAGCAUAGGCUUUUGCAACUGAUCAGUAAAUUGUGUUGUCCCUUAUUUUUGGGGUUCUGUGAUGUAACUUUUGAUUUUCUGAAAAUGUUGAAAUUGCUUCUCUCGAUUUGUGGCGUCUGCAACCCUCUGAAAAAAAAUGGUUUUCAAUGGUUUACUUUAUGCUUGUACAUUGCAUAUUAGAUCACAUUAACUAAUAAAUGUUUGGUAUUAUUACACUACACAAA
rnacentral:lncRNA from 1 species